AACGUACGCUGGCGGCACGCCCAACACAUGCAAGUCGAACGAAGUAGCAAUACUUAGUGGCAGACGGGUGAGUAACAUGUAGGUAUCUGCCCUUUGGCCUGGAAUAACACGAGGAAACUUGUGCUAAUACCGGAUAAGUCUUUACGGAGAAAGCUUUAUGCACCAUUGGAUGAGCCUGCACUUGAUUAGUUUGUUGGUGGGGUAAUGGCCUACCAAGACUGUGAUCAAUAGCUGAUUUGAGAGGAUGAUCAGCCACAUUGGGACUGAGACACGGCCCAAACUCCUACGGGAGGCAGCAGUGGGGAAUCUUGCACAAUGGAGGAAACUCUGAUGCAGCGAUGCCGCGUGAGUGAAGAAGGCCUUUGGGUUGUAAAGCUCUUUCGUCGGGGAAGAAAAUGACUGUACCCGAAUAAGAAGGUCCGGCUAACUUCGUGCCAGCAGCCGCGGUAAUACGAAGGGACCUAGCGUAGUUCGGAAUUACUGGGCUUAAAGAGUUCGUAGGUGGUUGAAAAAGUUAGUGGUGAAAUCCCAGAGCUUAACUCUGGAACUGCCAUUAAAACUUUUCAGCUAGAGUAUGAUAGAGGAAAGCAGAAUUUCUAGUGUAGAGGUGAAAUUCGUAGAUAUUAGAAAGAAUACCAAUUGCGAAGGCAGCUUUCUGGAUCAUUACUGACACUGAGGAGCGAAAGCAUGGGUAGCGAAGAGGAUUAGAUACCCUCGUAGUCCAUGCCGUAAACGAUGUGUGUUAGACGUUGGAAAUUUAUUUUCAGUGUCGCAGGGAAACCGAUAAACACACCGCCUGGGGAGUACGACCGCAAGGUUAAAACUCAAAUGAAUUGACGGGGACCCGCACAAGUAGUGGAGCAUGUGGUUUAAUUCGAAGAUACGCGCAGAACCUUACCAACACUUGACAUGUUCGUCGCGACUCUAAGAGAUUAGAGUUUUCGGUUCGGCCGGACGAAACACAGGUGCUGCAUGGCUGUCGUCAGCUCGUGUCGUGAGAUGUUGGGUUAAGUCCCGCAACGAGCGCAACCCUCACUUUUAGUUGCCAUCAUUAAGUUGGGCACUCUGAAAGAACUGCCAGUGAUAAGCUGGAGGAAGGUGGGGAUGACGUCAAGUCCUCAUGGCCCUUACGUGUUGGGCUACACACGUGCUACAAUGGUAUCUACAACAGGAAGCAAGACUGCGAAGUUAAGCAAAUCCCUAAAAGAUACCUCAGUUCGGAUUGCACUCUGCAACUCGAGUGCAUGAAGCUGGAAUUACUAGUAAUCGUGGAUCAGCGUGCCACGGUGAAUGCGUUCCCGGGUCU
rnacentral:rRNA from 1 species